rnacentral:rRNA from 1 species
GACGAACGCUGGCGGCGUGCUUAACACAUGCAAGUCGAACGGAAAGGCCCUGCUUUUGUGGGGUGCUCGAGUGGCGAACGGGUGAGUAACACGUGAGUAACCUGCCCUUGACUUUGGGAUAACUUCAGGAAACUGGGGCUAAUACCGGAUAGGAGCUCCUGCUGCAUGGUGGGGGUUGGAAAGUUUCGGCGGUUGGGGAUGGACUCGCGGCUUAUCAGCUUGUUGGUGGGGUAGUGGCUUACCAAGGCUUUGACGGGUAGCCGGCCUGAGAGGGUGACCGGCCACAUUGGGACUGAGGUACGGCCCAGACUCCUACGGGAGGCAGCAGUGGGGAAUAUUGCACAAUGGGCGGAAGCCUGAUGCAGAAACGCCGCGUGCGGGAUGACGGCCUUCGGGUUGUAAACCGCUUUCGCCUGUGACGAAGCGUGAGUGACGGUAAUGUGUAAAGAAGCACCGGCUAACUACGUG